rnacentral:rRNA from 1 species
AUUGAACGCUGGCGGCAUGCUUUACACAUGCAAGUCGAACGGUAACAGGCCGCAAGGUGCUGACGAGUGGCGAACGGGUGAGUAAUGCAUCGGAACGUGCCCAGUCGUGGGGGAUAACGCAGCGAAAGCUGCGCUAAUACCGCAUACGAUCUACGGAUGAAAGCGGGGGACGCGCAAGAGCCUCGCGCGACUGGAGCGGCCGAUGUCAGAGUAGGGAGUUGGUGGGGUAAAGGCGAACCAAGCAGACGAACUGUAGCUGGUCUGAGAGGACGACCAGCCACACUGGGACUGAGACACGGCCCAGACUCCUACGGGAGGCAGCAGUGGGGAAUUUUGGACAAUGGGCGCAAGCCUGAUCCAGCAAUGCCGCGUGCAGGGAGAAGGCCUUCGGGUUGUAAACUGCUUUUGUACGGAACGAAACGGUCCUGGUUAGUACCUGGGGCUAAUGACGGUACCGUAAGAAUAAGCACCGGCUAACUACGUGCCAGCAGCCGCAGUAAGAC